rnacentral:rRNA from 1 species
GACGAACGCUGGCGGCGUGCUUAACACAUGCAAGUCGAGCGGAAAGGCCACUUCGGUGGUACUCGAGCGGCGAACGGGUGAGUAACACGUGAGUAAUCUGCCCUUGGCUUUGGGAUAGCCACCGGAAACGGUGAUUAAUACCGGAUAUGACCACUUCACGCAUGUGAUGGUGGUGGAAAGUUUUUCGGCCAGGGAUGUGCUCGCGGCCUAUCAGCUUGAUGGUGAGGUAAUGGCUCACCAUGGCUUCGACGGGUAGCCGGCCUGAGAGGGUGACCGGUCACACUGGGACUGAGACACGGCCCAGACUCCUACGGGAGGCAGCAGUGGGGAAUAUUGGACAAUGGGCGGAAGCCUGAUCCAGCAACGCCGCGUGAGGGAUGACGGCCUUCGGGUUGUAAACCUCUUUCGCCUAUGACGAAGCGCAAGUGACGGUAAUAGGUAAAGAAGCACCGGCCAACUACGUGCCAGCCGCCGCAGUAACAC